rnacentral:other from 1 species
UUACCCCUACCGUGUCCGUGAUUGGAAGAUAUGCUUUGAUCCAACAUUUAUGGACAGGGGAGCCUUCCCUGAUUUCGGUGUGCAUGUUCUGCUUGUUCAGAAACGCCUGAAGAAAUUAAAAGGCACCCACUUUGAACCAACGGUUCAAAGACCUACCAACACGGCAUUGUGGUGGGGGGCAU